GUGUCAGCCGCCGCGGUAAUACAGAGGGGGCAAGCGUUGUUCGGAAUUACUGGGCGUAAAGGGCGCGUAGGCGGCCCACUAAGUCGGACGUGAAAUCCCUCGGCUCAACCGGGGAACUGCGUCCGAUACUGGAGGGCUUGAAUCCGGGAGAGGGAUGCGGAAUUCCAGGUGUAGCGGUGAAAUGCGUAGAUAUCUGGAGGAACACCGGUGGCGAAGGCGGCAUCCUGGACCGGUAUUGACGCUGAUGCGCGAAAGCCAGGGGAGCAAACGGGAUUAGAAACCCUAGUAGUCC
rnacentral:rRNA from 1 species